rnacentral:rRNA from 1 species
AUUGAACGCCGGCGGCAUGCCUAACACAUGCAAGUCGAGCGGAUGAAGGGAGCUUGCUCCUGGAUUCAGCGGCGGACGGGUGAGUAAUGCCUAGGAAUCUGCCUGGUAGUGGGGGAUAACGUCCCGAAACGGGCGCUAAUACCGCAUACGUCCUGAGGGUGAAAGUGGGGGAUCUUCGGACCUCACGCUAUCAGAUGAGCCUAUGUCGGAUUAGCUAGUUGGUGGGGUAAAGGCCUACCAAGGCGACGAUCCGUAGCUGGUCUGAGAGGAUGAUCAGUCACACUGGAACUGAGACACGGUCCAGACUCCUACGGGAGGCAGCAGUGGGGAAUAUUGGACAAUGGGCGAAAGCCUGAUCCAGCAAUGCCGCGUGUGUGAAGAAGGUCUUCGGAUUGUAAAGCACUUUAAGUUGGGAGGAAGAGCAGUAAGUUAAUACCUUGCUGUUUUGACGUUACCAACAGAAUAAGCGCCGGCUAACUACGUG